UACGUAGGUCCCGAGCGUUGUCCGGAUUUAUUGGGCGUAAAGCGAGCGCAGGUGGUUUAUUAAGUCUGGUGUAAAGGGCAGUGGCUCAACCAUUGUAUGCAUUGGAAACUGGUAGACUUGAGUGCAGGAGAGGAGAGUGGAAUCCCAUGUGUAGCGGUGAAAUGCGUAGAUAUAUGGAGGAACACCGGUGGCGAAAGCGGCUCUCUGGCCUGUAACUGACACUGAGGCUCGAAAGCGUGGGGAGCAAACAGG
rnacentral:rRNA from 1 species